rnacentral:snRNA from 1 species
AUGCUGACUUCCAUAGCACAUAUACUAAAAUUGGAAUGAUACAGAGAAGAUUAGCAUGGCCC